rnacentral:rRNA from 1 species
GAUGAACGCUGGCGGCGUGCCUAAUACAUGCGAGUCGAGCGAACAGACGAGGAGCUUGCUCCUCUGACGUUAGCGGCGGACGGGUGAGUAACACGUGGAUAACCUACCUAUAAGACUGGGAUAACUUCGGGAAACCGGAGCUAAUACCGGAUAAUAUAUUGAACCGCAUGGUUCAAUAGUGAAAGACGGUUUUGCUGUCACCUAUAGAUGGAUCCGCGCCGCAUUAGCUAGUUGGUAAGGUAACGGCUUACCAAGGCAACGAUGCUUAGCCGACCUGAGAGGGUGAUCGGCCACACUGGAACUGAGACACGGUCCAGACUCCUACGGGAGGCAGCAGUAGGGAAUCUUCCGCAAUGGGCGAAAGCCUGACGGAGCAACGCCGCGUGAGUGAUGAAGGUCUUCGGAUCGUAAAACUCUGUUAUUAGGGAAGAACAAAUGUGUAAGUAACUAUGCACGUCUUGACGGUACCUAAUCAGAAAGCCACGGCUAACUACGUG